rnacentral:rRNA from 1 species
GAUGAACGCUAGCUACAGGCUUAACACAUGCAAGUCGAGGGGCAGCAUUUCAGUUUGCUUGCAAACUGGAGAUGGCGACCGGCGCACGGGUGAGUAACACGUAUCCAACCUGCCGAUAACUCGGGGAUAGCCUUUCGAAAGAAAGAUUAAUACCCGAUGGUAUAAUCAGACCGCAUGGUCUUGUUAUUAAAGAAUUUCGGUUAUCGAUGGGGAUGCGUUCCAUUAGGCAGUUGGUGAGGUAACGGCUCACCAAACCUUCGAUGGAUAGGGGUUCUGAGAGGAAGGUCCCCCACAUUGGAACUGAGACACGGUCCAAACUCCUACGGGAGGCAGCAGUGAGGAAUAUUGGCCAAUGGGCGCAGGCCUGAACCAGCCAAGUAGCGUGAAGGAUGACUGCCCUAUGGGUUGUAAACUUCUUUUAUAUGGGAAUAAAGUUUUCCACGUGUGGAAUUUUGUAUGUACCAUAUGAAUAAGGAUCGGCUAACUCCGUGCCAGCAGCCGCGGUAAUACGGAGGAUCCGAGCGUUAUCCGGAUUUAUUGGGUUUAAAGGGAGCGUAGGUGGACAGUUAAGUCAGUUGUGAAAGUUUGCGGCUCAACCGUAAAAUUGCAGUUGAUACUGGCUGUCUUGAGUACAGUAGAGGUGGGCGGAAUUCGUGGUGUAGCGGUGAAAUGCUUAGAUAUCACGAAGAACUCCGAUUGCGAAGGCAGCUCACUGGACUGCAACUGACACUGAUGCUCGAAAGUGUGGGUAUCAAACAGGAUUAGAUACCCUGGUAGUCCACACAGUAAACGAUGAAUACUCGCUGUUUGCGAUAUACAGUAAGCGGCCAAGCGAAAGCAUUAAGUAUUCCACCUGGGGAGUACGCCGGCAACGGUGAAACUCAAAGGAAUUGACGGGGGCCCGCACAAGCGGAGGAACAUGUGGUUUAAUUCGAUGAUACGCGAGGAACCUUACCCGGGCUUAAAUUGCAUUUGAAUAUAUUGGAAACAGUAUAGCCGUAAGGCAAAUGUGAAGGUGCUGCAUGGUUGUCGUCAGCUCGUGCCGUGAGGUGUCGGCUUAAGUGCCAUAACGAGCGCAACCCUUAUCUUUAGUUACUAACAGGUCAUGCUGAGGACUCUAGAGAGACUGCCGUCGUAAGAUGUGAGGAAGGUGGGGAUGACGUCAAAUCAGCACGGCCCUUACGUCCGGGGCUGCACACGUGUUACAAUGGGGGGUACAGAAGGCAGCUACCUGGUGACAGGAUGCUAAUCCCAAAAGCCUCUCUCAGUUCGGAUCGAAGUCUGCAACCCGACUUCGUGAAGCUGGAUUCGCUAGUAAUCGCGCAUCAGCCAUGGCGCGGUGAAUACGUUCCCGGGCCU